rnacentral:rRNA from 1 species
UUGGCGGACGGGUGAGUAACGCGUGGAAAACCUGCCGUAUACUGGGGGAUAACACUUAGAAUAGGUGCUAAUACCGCAUAAGCGCACAGCUUCGCAUGAAGCGGUGUGAAAAACUCUGGUGGUAUACGAUGGUUCCGCGUCUGAUUAGCUAGUUGGUGGGGUAAUGGCCUACCAAGGCAACGAUCAGUAGCCGGCCUGAGAGGGUGAACGGCCACAUUGGGACUGAGACACGGCCCAAACUCCUACGGGAGGCAGCAG